rnacentral:rRNA from 1 species
GGCCGGGCGCGCGCACGGGGGGAACGCGAAGAACCUUACCAGGUCUUGACAUCCUCUGAAAACUCUAGAGAUAGAGCUUCUCCUUCGGGAGCAGAGUGACAGGUGGUGCAUGGUUGUCGUCAGCUCGUGUCGUGAGAUGUUGGGUUAAGUCCCGCAACGAGCGCAACCCUUGAUCUUAGUUGCCAUCAUUAAGUUGGGCACUCUAAGGUGACUGCCGGUGACAAACCGGAGGAAGGUGGGGAUGACGUCAAAUCAUCAUGCCCCUUAUGACCUGGGCUACACACGUGCUACAAUGGACGGUACAAAGAGCUGCAAGACCGCGAGGUGGAGCUAAUCUCAUAAAAGCGUUCUCAGUUCGGAUUGUAGGCUGCAACUCGCCUACAUGAAGCUGGAAUCGCUAGUAAUCGCGGAUCAGCAUGCCGCGGUGAAU